rnacentral:rRNA from 1 species
UACGUAGGUGGCAAGCGUUGUCCGGAUUUACUGGGCGUAAAGGGCGUGCAGGCGGUUUGUUAAGUCUAGGGUGAAAGCGCCUGGCUCAACUAGGCGAGUGCCGUGGGGACUGUUCAGCUGGAGUGGAGCAGAGGCGAGUGGAAUUCCGGGUGUAGUGGUGAAAUGCGUAGAGAUGCGGCGGAACACCGAUGGCGAAGGCAGCCCCCUGGGCUGAGAUUGACGCUCAGGCACGAAAGCGUGGGGAGCAAACAGG